UCUGCCUCCCAGGUUCAAGCAAUUCUCCUGCCUCAGCCUCCCAAGUAGCUAGAAUUACAGGCGCCUGCUACCACGCUUUGCUACUUUUUUGUAUUUUUAGUAGAGACGGGGUUUCACCAUGUUUGUUAGGCUGGUGUCGAACUCCUGACCUCACGUGAUCCAUCCGCCUUGGCCCCCCAAAGUGCUGGGAUUACAGGCGUGAGCCACCGGCCUGUAGUUUUAAAUUUACUAAUGUUAAAACUAAAGUUUUAAAACCCGGCCUGUAGUUUUAAAUUUACUAAUGUCAUCAUGUACCCACUGUGUGUCAGGAGCAAUUCUGCUAUCUGCUUGUGUAUACAUCUUGUAUCCUUGUUUGACGUAAAAAGAAACGCGAGGGAGCUUGGAAGACGUGUCCAAGGUGAAAGAGCUGGGAAGCAGCAGAGCUCAGAUUUGACCCCAGGCUACCUGACUAUCUGACCUUCAGCCUCCCAAGAGCUGUACUUUUCUAUACUCCUGCUCUCUCCUUUCCAGGUUCCCUCUGCACCUCACGCAGCUCAGCACACUCCUCAGUGUGUGGCACUUCAUCAAUAUUGGUCUAUGCAAACCUUUUGUCUUUUAGUUUUAUUUCUUUCCCUUCAUUCCCAGUCCCCUGCCUACUUUCCUUUUUCCCAGGGGCACCCAUCCAAUUUUAAUGUUUUGAUACAUAUGCUCGAAAAGCUAAAGCAUUGUUCUGCAUAUGUGUGCAUUUUAAAUGUCCAUAAAUGGCAUUGAAGCUGUGAAUCAGUUUCUGUUGCAUUGUGUUUUUUUAAUUCAGCACUUUUUUUCAAGAUCUAUUCAUGCUGCUCCAAGUACAUCUAGUUCUUUGCUUCUAACAGCUGCAGAGAAAUCUGCGGUGUUCAUUCACCAUAUUUUGUUCAUACAUUCCCCUGAGGUUGGAGACCUAGAUUGCCUUCCAGUUCCUGCCCCUACAAACCGUGUCACCAUGAGCAUCCUGGUACAUGCUCCCUUCUGAUUCUGUGCCAGUCUCCUGUCAUUGUAGCUGGGAGUAGAAUUGCUGGAUAACAGGACACCUGCAAACGGCGUUUUAGUAAAUAUCAUCUAAUUGCUCUCCCGAAUGGUUAUAAUACUUUAUCCUCAUAAUGAGCAGUGCAUAAGAGAUUACAUUUCUGCAUGUCCUCAUCAAGACAUGGCAUCAUCCAGCUUUCUAAUUUUGCCAAUCCAAUGAGUGUAGCGUGAUCUCAUUUUCAUUUGCAUGCCUCUGAUUACUAAUGAGGUUCAGCAUCUUUUCAUAUACUCACUAGUGUUUUUUUGUUUCCCUUCCUGUGAAUUGCUUAUUCAUGUUCUUUACCAGAUUUUCUGCUUUUUUCUUUUUCAUGUUGCUUAGCAGGAGAUCCUUGCAUAUUUUAGUUUAGUUCCUAGGGAUAAUUAAGCCCUACUGCAUAUGGGUAUGUCUUAUACAUUCCCUAGGGCAUGGAUUAUAUACAUAACAAAUUAACCUCUAAGCCUGUAGCAUGGGACUAUUUACCUACUGUUCUCAGCAAAGUUCAGAAAACACUCAAAUUAUUUGCUGUUUUUUUGUUUUUGUUUUUGUUUUUCUUUUUUUGAGGUGGAGUCUUGCUCUGUCGCCCAGGGUGGAGUGCAGUGGCGCGAUCUUACCUCACUGCAACCUCCCUCUCUGGGGUUCAAGUGAUUCUCCUGCCUCAGCUUUCCGGGUAGCUGGGACUACAUGUGUGCACUACAAUGCCUGGCUAAUUUUAUCAUAUUUUUGGUAGAGAUGGAGUUUCGCCAUGUUGGCCAGGCUGGUCUCGAACUCCUGACCUCAAGUGAUCCACCUGCCUUGGCCUCCCAAAGUGCUGGGAUUCAGGCGUGAGCCACCGUGCCUGGCCAUAUUUGCUGGUUUUUGAGAUUCAGAUGAGGAACUUCAGUUGAAAAAGUCUGUUCUAGAUAAAAAUUUCUAGUCAAUGUAGAUAUCGCCAAUAUUUUUUCUUAGAAUGUCACCCACUUGUGGCAUCUAGCAUUGAAUGGAAAUCCUUGAUUUUUUAAAAUUACAAAUAACCAUUGAUUAUUUUAAAGCAGUAUUUAUUAAUUGUAGAAAUUUCAGAAACACAAAUAAUCUAAAAAAUAAAAGCACCAAAUAUUCUUCCAGGUCGUUUCCUGUGUGAGAGUAUGUGUGUGUGUGUGUGUUUGCUUGCCAAAAUACAAUCGUGUUGUAUGAAAUGUUUUAUAAUCUGUUUUUUGUUGUUGUUAAUAAUUGCCAUCUUUACAUGUCAAUAAAUUUUUAUUUAAUAUCCAG
rnacentral:lncRNA from 10 species